GAUGAACGCUGGCGGCGUGCUUAACACAUGCAAGUCGAACGAUGAAGCCCAGCUUGCUGGGUGGAUUAGUGGCGAACGGGUGAGUAACACGUGAGUAACCUGCCCUUAACUCUGGGAUAAGCCUGGGAAACUGGGUCUAAUACCGGAUAGGAGCGCCUACCGCAUGGUGGGUGUUGGAAAGAUUUAUCGGUUUUGGAUGGACUCGCGGCCUAUCAGCUUGUUGGUGAGGUAAUGGCUCACCAAGGCGACGACGGGUAGCCGGCCUGAGAGGGUGACCGGCAACAUGGGGACGGAGACACGGCCCAAACCCCGAGGGGGGGCAGAAGGGGGGAAAUUUGCAAAAGGGGGGAAAGCCUGAUGCAGGGACGCCGGGUGGGGGAGGACGGCCUUCGGGUGUUAACCCUUUUUCAGUAGGAAAGAAGCGAAAGGGACGGUACCUGCAGAAAAAACACCGGCUAAAUACGU
rnacentral:rRNA from 1 species